rnacentral:rRNA from 1 species
GACGAACGCUGGCGGCGUGCUUAACACAUGCGAGUCGAACGGUGAAGCGCCUUCCUUUUUGGUGGGUGUGGAUGAGUGGCGAACGGGUGAGUAACACGUGAGUAACCUGCCCCCUUCUUCUGGAUAACCGCAUGAAAGUGUGGCUAAUACGGGAUAUUCUGGGUCUGUCGCAUGAUGGGUCUGGGAAAGAUAUUGUUUCGGUGGGGGAUGGGCUCGCGGCCUAUCAGCUUGUUGGGGGGGUGAUGGCCUACCAAGGCGGUGACGGGUAGCCGGCCUGGGAGGGUGGACGGUCACACUGGGACUGAGACACGGCCCAGACUCCUACGGGAGGCAGCAGUGGGGAAUAUUGCACAAUGGGCGCAAGCCUGAUGCAGCGACGCCGCGUGAGGGAUGGAGGCCUUCGGGUUGUGAACCUCUUUCGCCAGUGAAGCAGGCCUGCCUCGUUUGUGGGUGGGUUGACGGUAGCUGGAUAAGAAGCGCCGGCUAACUACGUG